rnacentral:lncRNA from 1 species
AUGACUUUUAAAAAAAAGCCAGCCUCAACUCAAUCCAAAGCAUGAUCAAAAGCGUGAAGAACCCCAAAACUCUCCAGAAAAAACCAGAUACAGGAAAAAAGAUUCAAUCUUUAUCAUAUGAACGCCAAAAAGAAGAACAAAAAGAAUUGAGAAUUGAGAACUAAAUGCUCUUACUGACCUCAAAUGAAACUAUUCUCUCCUUCAGCGGCCCCUGCCCCCUGGUAUCUCAUUCCUCCAAAUCUAAUAUAUUUGAGAGAAGACAGAGAAAGAAAGCAUUAAAAAAAUUAGAUUUUUA